UGGGGAAUAUUGCACAAUGGGCGCAAGCCUGAUGCAGCCAUGCCGCGUGUAUGAAGAAGGCCUUCGGGUUGUAAAGUACUCUCAGCGGGGAGGAAGGGAGUAAAGUUAAUACCUUUGCUCAUUGACGUUACCCGCAGAAGAAGCACCGGCUAACUCCGUGCCAGCAGCCGCGGUAAUACGGAGGGUGCAAGCGUUAAUCGGAAUUACUGGGCGUAAAGCGCACGCAGGCGGUUUGUUAAGUCAGAUGUGAGAUCCCCGGGCUCAACCUGGGAACUGCAUCUGAUACUGGCAAGCUUGAGUCUCGUAGAGGGGGGUAGAAUUCCAGGUGUAGCGGUGAAAUGCGUAGAGAUCUGGAGGAAUACCGGUGGCGAAGGCGGCCCCCUGGACGAAGACUGACGCUCAGGUGCGAAAGCGUGGGGAGCAAACAGG
rnacentral:rRNA from 1 species